AUUCUGAUAUGUUUACUGAACUGUGCU
rnacentral:piRNA from 1 species